rnacentral:rRNA from 1 species
CCUACGGGAGGCAGCAGUGGGGAAUUUUGCGCAAUGGGGGCAACCCUGACGCAGCGACGCCGCGUGAGUGAUGAAGGCCUUCGGGUUGUAAAGCUCUGUCUAGGGGGAAGAUAGUGACGGUACCCCUGGAGGAAGCCCCGGCUAACUACGUGCCAGCAGCCGCGGUAAGACGUAGGGGGCGAGCGUUGUCCGGAAUUAUUGGGCGUAAAGGGCGUGUAGGCGGCUUUUCAAGUCAGCUGUGAAAUUCCUCGGCUCAACCGGGGGUCUGCAGUUGAGACUGUUAAGCUUGAGUGCAGGAGAGGAGGGUGGAAUUCCCGGUGUAGCGGUGAAAUGCGUAGAUAUCGGGAGGAACACCGGUGGCGAAGGCGGCCUUCUGGCCUGUAACUGACGCUGAGGCGCGAAAGCUAGGGGAGCAAACAGGAUUAGAUACCCUGGUAGUCCUAGCUGUAAACGAUGGGUACUAGGUGUAGGGGGUUUAGACGCUCUCUGUGCCGUAGUUAACGCAUUAAGUACCCCGCCUGGGGAGUACGAUCGCAAGGUUGAAACUCAAAGGAAUUGACGGGGGCCCGCACAAGCGGUGGAGCAUGUGGUUUAAUUCGACGCAACGCGAAGAACCUUACCAGGGCUUGACAUUUGCCUGACGUAUCUUAGAGAUAGGGUAUUUCUUUCGGGACAGGCAAACAGGUGGUGCAUGGUUGUCGUCAGCUCGUGUCGUGAGAUGUUGGGUUAAGUCCCGCAACGAGCGCAACCCUUAUUCUUAGUUGCCAGCACGUGAUGGUGGGCACUCUAAGGAGACUGCCGGUGACAAACCGGAGGAAGGUGGGGAUGACGUCAAAUCAUCAUGCCCUUUAUGUCCUGGGCUACACACGUGCUACAAUGGCCGGUACAACGGGUUGCGAGACCGCGAGGUUUAGCCAAUCCCUUAAAGCCGGUCUCAGUUCGGAUUGCAGGCUGCAACUCGCCUGCAUGAAGUCGGAAUCGCUAGUAAUCGCGAAUCAGCACGUCGCGGUGAAUACGUUCCCGGGCCUUGUACACACCGCCCGUCACACCACGAAAGCUGGCAACACCCGAAGCCGGCGACUCAACCGUAAGGAGAGAGCCGUCGAAGGUGGGGUUAGUGAUUGGGGUGAAGUCGUAACAAGGUAACC